UCCUUAGAGAAAAUGUCUUGCAGGCUGUUGGGGAGUGCAUGAAUGCUGGAAAUACUUCCCCAAGUGUUGCUCAAUGUCCUGGGAAGACAGUCUGCUGGCAUCUGGACUCCUUACCCUGGAGAGGGGUUGCAGGACGCCGGGGCAUGCGGGUCUGAUAAGACAUUUGCAUAUUAGCGACCUUCUUGAAUCUGUGGGUGACGAUUGCAGAGCCAUGGUGGGCUGGGCAAUGGGGAAGUGUCCCUCAGAGGCCCCUCGAAUCACGGGACAUAUGUGACCACUGGCUGCACCGGCGGCCCCAGCGGCCCCAAGGCCAACAGAGAAAGUGACCCUGUUCACGCAGGAGCACAGUUUUCGGCUUCACCUCAGGAAAAGAAAUGUUUGCUCAAGCUUCUCCUGACGAAGGCUUCCCUCAGAGAGCAGAUAUUUUUUAGGAGGUGUGUAGUCAAUAGCCAGUCCCUCUCCUGCUGCAUCAGGCAACCCAUCCCUCUCCUUGGCUGGUGCUUGAUGAAGGAAUUGGCAAGUUCAAGGCCCACGUGGGAACAUCCUGUUGGCCAGAGGCGUUACUUCAGCAGACAGGCAGGCCCUUCGGGAUGAAGAUGACAGACCCAAGGAUUUGACGUCUGGACUGGGUUAUAUUCAAAUGUGAACUAUCACACCAAAUGUGUCACCAUCACACCACCUCCCCUGCCUUCCACCAGAGCCCGUGGGCCUGAGCCAGAGGCCAGUGAACCCGUCUGAAGAAGCUACAGAGCCUACCCACGUGACCCUUGAAGAGAAGGUUCCAGAACCCUGGCACACUCGUCUUCACUCAGCUCUUGGGGGAUUGUGUACCUUUUCUUCAGUCUUUCUGGUUUUUAACCAGGAUCCCAACUCAGGAGAUGGAUAUGGAGCCAUCAGGUACCAGUUAAAGGAAAUACCACGCAGUUUCUUCAAGCCUAGUACUUGGCGCUGAUACUCAGUGAGCAAUCUCAUUGCUCCUGAAGGGUGCUGCCAUUAUGGUUUAGCUGCAUUUAAAGCCUCAUGAGAUGCCCUUGUAGGAGUAGACGAGAUCUUACUUUCAAAGUAGGGUUGGCUUUUUCUUAAGAAAGAGAGCAUUAUUCCUGGUCUUCCAGAAUUGCCUUCUCCUUUGUUGUAGGGUCUAUAAAAAUAAACGUGGUCUGUAUGCCCCUCCCUGUGGAUCAGGAAAUACCCACCUGGUUCUGGGGCAAUGGUUAACCCUACCCCUGGGACCAUGCCACGACAGGCUAUGAUUUGGACCCUUCUACUUACAGUGCCCCAAUGUAGGCUUGCUUCUAUCAAACCCAUGCCUUCUUUUCAAGUCAAUUACUCAACUAAGGAUUGGGAUAGAGAGAAUCAAUGGAAAUUGUGGAAAUCGAAGUUCAAAAAGCUAGAAUCUCAACCAUUGUGUGACCCUCAUACUCAGCCCGUUCCUUUAUUCAGGCCCUUUAUUCUGAUAACUUAUUCUUUCUGAACAUGAACUUGAGCUAAGGCUGUUGGACCAUUGUUGGCUUACCAGGAAACAAUAGCUCCAAACAUGCUAGACUCCCUGCCUUCACACUGUUUACUUUGCUGGAAUGUGCUUCCUUCCGUGUCUGCAUAUCCAAAAGCCACCCACCCUCUUCAAGGCUCCAUGUAAAUAUCUUCACCUUCUUGAAAGCUUCCUUGGGUCCCUCCAGCUGCCAAUGGGAAGACAGCAGCAUGGUGGCCAAGAGCAAGGAUGCCAGGACCCGGACCUCCACAUUUCACAUUCCAGCUCUGCCACUUCCUAGCUCUAGGACUUUCGUAAAGUUUCUUAAUAUGUCUGGGCCUUAGUUUCCCUAUCUGUAAAACGGGGAUGAUAGUAGUACCUAUCUCAUAAGUUAUUAGGAGCAUAAAGUGGGUUAAUAUAUAUUAAAUGCUUAAAAUACCACCAGCGAAGAGAGGGUUAAGAUGGCAGAGGAGUAGGGGACCCCUUUUUCAGCCGGUCCCCUGAGUUGAGCUGGAUAGGUACCAGACCAGCAGGAACAUCCACGGAAUCAUCCUGAGACGCAGGAAGAUACAUCUGGAUCUCUACAAACGAACAUCUCCAGCGCUGAGUGUUGAGGUACGAAGCAGGGAACCGUGAAACCGCGCACAGAUAUCGGAAGAUAAACAGAAGGGGUGGGAGCCGUCGUGUCAGGGCCCCGGAAACGGUAGCCACCUGCAUGGGGGAGCGGACGGACCGCGGACCCACACCCUUGAGACAGCAGACUGAGACCGUGAGCUGGGGAUGCGUGCUACCAAGCAUCUCACGGAGCUCC